AGUGAACGCUGGCGGUAGGCCUAACACAUGCAAGUCGAACGGCAGCACAGUAAGAGCUUGCUCUUACGGGUGGCGAGUGGCGGACGGGUGAGGAAUACAUCGGAAUCUACUUUUUCGUGGGGGAUAACGUAGGGAAACUUACGCUAAUACCGCAUACGACCUACGGGUGAAAGCAGGGGAUCUUCGGACCUUGCGCGAUUGAAUGAGCCGAUGUCGGAUUAGCUAGUUGGCGGGGUAAAGGCCCACCAAGGCGACGAUCCGUAGCUGGUCUGAGAGGAUGAUAGGCCACACUGGAACUGGGACACGGUCCAGACGACUACGGGAGGCAGCAGUGGGGAAUAGUGGACAAUGGGCGGAAACCUGAUCCAGCCAUACCGCGUGUGUGAAGAAGGCCUUCGGGUUGUAAAGCCCUUUUGUUGGGAAAGAAAAGCAGCAGGUUAAUACCACGCUGUUCUGACGGUACCCAAAGAAUAAGCACCGGCUAACUUCGUG
rnacentral:rRNA from 1 species